rnacentral:lncRNA from 13 species
UAUUGUGAAGUUACUAUUAUCUAUUUUAAAUCUUUAUAUAUUAUUAUUAAUACGCCAAAUUUGGAAUUCUAUUUUUUACAGAAACAAUUUUUAUUAAAAAUCGGAGGAAAUAAUCCGAGGGAUAAUAUACAUCGUAUUCUAAAAAAGAUUUUUACCAACGAGUGUGCUGUAAACUGCUCUUGGAAGGGUGUACGAAAAAAUUUCCGGCUGGACAAUUUACAUUUCAUAAAAAUGAUAAGACGUAUGUAAGAAAUGACAUAUUACUUCGCACCAUAUGACGCUCACAGAGUCCGAAUUUGAUAACAUCGCGGCUGAAUGGAUCCGCUUCGCAAAACAGCGUAACA